CAAAAAAUUUUUUUUUUUGGGGGUUUUUUUUUUUUUUAAAAAAAAAUUUUUUUAAAAAAAUUUUCUUUUUUUUUAAAAAAAAAGGAAACCCACCCCCGGGGGUUUUUUUUGGGGGGGGGGCCCCUUUUUUUGGAAAAAAAACCCCUUUUUUUUGGGUUUUUUUCCCCCGGGGGGGGCCCCCGGGGGGGGGGGGGAAACGGGGGUUUUCCCCCCCCCCCAAAAAAAAAUUU